UACAGAGGGUGCGAGCGUUAAUCGGAAUUACUGGGCGUAAAGCGUGCGUAGACGGCUAUCUAAGUCGGGUGUGAAAGCCCCGGGCUCAACCUGGGAAUUGCAUUCGAGACUGAAUAGCUAGGGUACGGUAGAGGGAAGUGGAAUUUCCGGUGUAGCGGUGAAAUGCGUAGAUAUCGGAAGGAACAUCAGUGGCGAAGGCGACUACCUGGCCUGUUCUUGACGCUGAGGCGCGAAAGCUAGGGGAGCAAACGGG
rnacentral:rRNA from 1 species